GACAGAGGAUGCAAGCGUUAUCCGGAAUGAUUGGGCGUAAAGCGUCUGUAGGUGGCUUUUCAAGUCCGCCGUCAAAUCCCAGGGCUCAACCCUGGACAGGCGGUGGAAACUGCCAAGCUGGAGUACGGUAGGGGCAGAGGGAAUUUCCGGUGGAGCGGUGAAAUGCGUAGAGAUCGGAAAGAACACCAACGGCGAAAGCACUCUGCUGGGCCGACACUGACACUGAGGCGCGAAAGCUAGGGGAGCAAACAGG
rnacentral:rRNA from 1 species